AUGCCCUAUGAUAAAGCUAUUACUAUUUCAUCAAAACAACAAUAUAACAAUAAUCAAAAUGAAGUUUUGAUAUAAU
ncrna:Parvimonas sp. oral taxon 393 str. F0440 dfrA-dnaX RNA